UGGGGAAUAUUGCGGCAAUGGGGGGCAACCCUGACGCAGCAACGCCGCGUGAUUGAAGAAGGUCUUCGGAUUGUAAAAUCUUUUAUCAGGGACGAAGAAGUGACGGUACCUGAUGAAUAAGCUCCGGCUAACUACGUGCCAGCAGCCGCGGUAAUACGUAGGGAGCAAGCGUUAUCCGGAUUUACUGGGUGUAAAGGGCGAGUAGGCGGGUCGGCAAGUUGGGAGUGAAAUGUCGGGGCUUAACCCCGGAACUGCUUCCAAAACUGUUGAUCUUGAGUGAUGGAGAGGCAGGCGGAAUUCCCAGUGUAGCGGUGAAAUGCGUAGAUA
rnacentral:rRNA from 1 species